GGACUACUAGGGUUUCUAAUCCUGUUUGCUCCCCCAGCUUUCGCGCCUCAGCGUCAGCUAUAGCCCAGAAAACCGUCUUCACCACCGGUGUUCCUCCACAUAUCUACGCAUUUCACCGCUACAUGUGGAAUUCCGUUUUCCCUAACUACGCUCCAGUAUGUCAGUUUCAAAUGCAGCUCCGCAGUUGAGCCGCGGAAUUUCACAUCUGACUUAACUUACCGCCUACGCGCCCUUUACGCCCAGUAAUUCCGAUCAAUGCUUGCACCCUCCGUAUUACCGCGGCUGCUGGCAC
rnacentral:rRNA from 1 species